ensembl:snoRNA U8 U8 small nucleolar RNA
UGAUCAGGUGGCAUAAUCCUUCCCUGUUCCUCCUCUUGAAGGGCAGAUAGAACAUGAUGAUUGCGAGUCUCACAUGACAUGUGAUUAAUGUCUCUGUAAUCAGGAUUUGCCUUGUAAGUACUGCA